GUGUGUUUGUGUGUGUGUGUGUGUGUGUGUGUGUGUGUGUGUGUGGCAUGUUCAGGUGAGGUGUGUAACGCACUGAAUGUUGAUGAACAGCCCAAACAGGUGAAGCUGAGCCUCAUCGAAGCAUAGGAACCGGAAUGACUCUCAUCGAGAAUUCAAGGACAGAUUCCAUGGGGGAGAAGGAAAAAAAGAUUCAUCGUGUUGUCAGAUGCUUUGCUGCAACAUUGGCUGAAACAGGGAACUAAUCAAAGGAACAGCAAACCUGCAGACGAGAUGUCCAGACCAUUGAUGCAGACAGAUAAGAGGUACUUACACCGUGCUGCGGCGUCCGGAUGAG